ACAACAACAUUCGGACCGUCGGUCUACCGAGCAAUAUCACCCGCUCGGUGGAAGAUCUUCCUUUCGUUGUAAAUC
rnacentral:pre_miRNA from 1 species